rnacentral:lncRNA from 1 species
CAGCAGUGCGGGUCCUCUCUCCUGCCAGGGGCUGGGGCCCAGAUCCUCCUCAGCAUGCCUGAAAAUGGGAGUAAGGCACGAUUUCUGCCUGCUGCAGUUUCCAAUCCGUGGCAGAGAGGCGCCCAGGGCCGAGCACACCGUGUGGGGAGGACAGCAUGACCAGGACCCCUCAGCUUUCCAAGAGGAGUCCUGGAGCCGGUUAAAUUCCUGCACCCUGCAAAGGCCUGUGAUUCUUGGUGGCCAUGAGGGAGAGAGGGGAAUGAAGGAAGAUGGGAGACAUCCACCCAAGAAGACCCUUUCCAGGAUGCCAGAAACCAAGGGCUGAACAGGUAUCCCAGCCUGGGCAGGCAGAGAUCUGGUAUUUUCUGUAGUUCUGGGCUGGAACAGGAGCUGGGGAGGAUGCAGAGAUGCAGCUGUGUCAAACUUGUGUGAGAAUAAAGCUUUGGGCUGGGAUCA